rnacentral:rRNA from 1 species
UACAGAGGGUGCGAGCGUUAAUCGGAAUUACUGGGCGUAAAGGGUGCGUAGGUGGUUUUGUAAGUUAGAUGUGAAAUUCCUGGGCUUAACCUGGGGACUGCGUCUGAUACUGCGAAGCUAGAGUACUGUAGAGGGAAGUGGAAUUUCCGGUGUAGCAGUGAAAUGCGUAGAUAUCGGAAGGAACAUCAGUGGCGAAGGCGGCUUCCUGGACAGAUACUGACACUGAGGCACGAAAGCGUGGGGAGCAAACAGGAUUAGAUACCC